UGGUACCUACGGGGGGCAGCAGUGGGGGAUAUUGCACAAUGGGGGGAACCCUGAUGCAGCGACGCCGCGUGGGUGAAGGAGCGUUUCGGCGCGUAAAGCCCUAUCGGCAGGGAAGAAGAUGACGGUACCUGACCAAGAAGCCCCGGCUAACUACGUGCCAGCCGCCGCGGUAAUACGUAGGGGGCAAGCGUUAUCCGGAUUUACUGGGUGUAAAGGGGGCGCAGACGGCAAUGCAAGCCAGGAGUGAAAGCCCGGCG
rnacentral:rRNA from 1 species